rnacentral:rRNA from 1 species
UACGAAGGGGGCUAGCGUUGCUCGGAAUCACUGGGCGUAAAGGGUGCGUAGGCGGGUCUUUAAGUCAGGGGUGAAAUCCUGGAGCUCAACUCCAGAACUGCCUUUGAUACUGAAGAUCUUGAGUUCGGGAGAGGUGAGUGGAACUGCGAGUGUAGAGGUGAAAUUCGUAGAUAUUCGCAAGAACACCAGUGGCGAAGGCGGGUCUCUGGACAGUUCCUGACGCUGAGGCACGAAGGCCAGGGGAGCAAACGGGG